rnacentral:lncRNA from 1 species
UCUUCUGAAGUUAUACUAUUUACACUCUGAGAAUCUUCAAAAUUAUCCCCCAUUAAAACAUCAUCAUCAGUAAUUUGCUUCUGAAUAUCUUUUUUAAUAUGCUCCAUGUAAGCUGCAAUUAGCUCAUCUUUAGAUAAUGUUCCUCCUUUUUUUAUUUGAAUCUUCUUAGUAAUUUUCCUAAAAUGACUUUCUUCCAUUUCUGUAUCAUCUGGGAUUUCUUUGUCAUAUUUGGUAAUUGUAGUCUUAAUUGUAUCCAAUAGCUCUUGCCCAACCAUCUUUCCAUCAGAUCCUUUUGAGAUUAGUUUAGGCCAAAAUUUUGUAUAAUGUCUUCUAAAUAAACAAGGN